UCCUAAUAAAGGUCUGUUGUCUGACUUCAUGAUAUGACUGCCCGGACUCCUGCUGUUGAGGGUUGACGGAGGCUGAGGAGGAGGAGCUGAGAGCCAAGCUUGCCAAGGUGGAAGAAGAAAUUGUCACUCUAUGACAGGUCCUGGAAGCCAAAGAGAGGAAUUGUGGAGAGUUGAAGAGGAGGUUGGGCCUCUCUACCUUGGGCGGGGGCGCUGAAGCAGAACCUGUCCAGGAGUUGGAAAAAUGUGCAGGUCUCUAACGCCUAUGUGAGAACUUCUGAGAAACUUGGAGAGUGGAAUGAGAAAGUGACCCAGUCUGACCUCUACAAGAAGACCCAGGAAACCCUCUCACAGGCAGGACAGAAGACAUCUGCUGCCCUGUCUACCAUGGGCUCUGCCAUCAGCAGGAAGCUUGGAGACUUGAGGAACUCUGCCACCUUCAAGUCCUGUGAAGAUCAAGUGGGAACCAUAAAGUCCAAG
rnacentral:lncRNA from 1 species